AAAAAAAACCAACUUGUUAAAUUGUUAAAUUAAUUAAUGUUCUUCUAGUUGACAUUGUUAAUCCAGCAAAAUUAACAUAAUUUACAAGACAAAGGGUAAUAAAUAACUUGCAGUUACUCCCACAGAAGCAUCAGGCUCUGAGCAGUAAUUAACCUUUUGUAUUUUGCAUGGAAACAUAACUUAAACUCACAGAGGUGACACAGCGAUCUCUCACAGUUAUUGUGCUACGGGAAGAAAUAUAAAUUAGCAGCCAUUUUCAAUCAUAAAUAGUCAGAGGCUAUAGGAAGACUUAAAACAGUUUUUUUAAUAGAAAAUAUGAUAGCCUAUCUAACUGUUUUAGUUCACCAGAAUUUAGGCAAUGUACCCUCUGAAUUAAUUGUUGUCAUGGAGAUAUUUAGAAUGUAAACAUCACAACGCUGUUGGAGUUAUGUAUCUCAUGAUGUGUUUUUAUAUACUCAUGUAUAGUAUAACAAAAGAUGGUCUCUACAUCUUUUCCUUCUUCAGAUACAUCAGAACAUUGCUGUGCUUUCUAUCUUAGCCCUGACUUCAGCAAAUAAACAAUUUUCAUGUCUAAAACCAUUGGGAAAAGAUCACAUCAUUAAUAAUAGAUUCUAUAGUACUAAACUUUCUCUUGAUUCUAAGAGAGAAAGGGCCAAAAUCCUUGACAAUAUUUCACUCACAUCUUUUGGUAGGCUUUAUGUAUGCUACUAAGUUUUAAAGAUGUUUUUUGAGGCAACCCAAACACUUCAUUGUGAUAAACUACUGUAUUUUCUUGGAUCAUCUUUUGAACCUAACACCAAAAAACAGCUGUUAAUGUUACUAAGCCAUUUAAACAGGGACUUGUUGGUGGGUGAGUUGGGACAAUCGGGACUUUGGAUGUAGCGUGGGUAAUACCGGCCACUUUUAAUCAACCUAUAGGGAGAAAUAUGUACACAGAGCAGAAAGAAUGAAAAUGUUAGGAAAGCUUAGAGUGUUCCCAGGAAAAAAGCAGACAAAAGAUUGAACCAGAGGAAGUAUUAUAGAGAUUAGCACCAUUACAAAGAAGGCAAUACAAUGGGCUGGAAUAAUAGGAGAUGCCUUGCAGACACCUAGGUUGUCAGCAAAGCACAGUGUAGCCAGAGGGAUGAGCACAUAAAUUCAAUCGGAAGAUUUUUCCUUGAGAGAACACUGCUCACAUUGGGUAGCCAAGGGAAGUGUUUUUCCAGGAUCAGCAUACCCAGGUAUUCUAAAGUAUUUCUAUCCAUGCUUUAAAUGAUGUGGGGGGUAGGAGGCUCAAAGCGGGAGCUACUACUUCAAGUGGGGUAUUUGGUAUCAUCCACGAGCUGCUGGUUUUGCAGGCAUGGAAUAUAUAAGAAUUACAUUUAUGUAGGCUUCCAUCAGACUUUAAAGGAAAACCUAGAAGGCCAGGCAAUGUAUGAGAGAACUGGGAUGUCUGUGGGGAGUCUUUGACAAGGCAACUUUUGAAGUUAAGGACACAAUAGAGACCCCGGGAAGUUAGAGAUACCAGAAAAGUAAAAUGUUUGCCUAGAAAACCUCCUUUUUUUUGGAUCCAGCUGAGGCAGACAUCAAGUGGAGUGUAGCUUGUAGAUGGUGAUGGUCAUAGGGACAAGGCCACCCAUGCUCUUGAGGUUUUACAAUAUGACACUCCUUGUCCUAAACCCUGGAUGUGAAAUUACAAACCUCUCUUGGAGGAGGGUUGAUGAGGGGAAUCUAACUGUGCAGUCCAAUUGGGCUCAAAAAUUCCAAUUCUCCUGCCUCAACUUCCAAAACGCUGGAAUUACAGAUGUGCAUGGCCAUAGUUCUCCCAAGAACUAUGAUUUUUUUUUUAAUGCUUCCUCUGCUGAGUUUUAAUCUUAUGUUGGUCCAUCCCCCACUCUCUAUAUCCCACAGCUUUUUCCCUUUCACAGUAGAAUAUUCCCUCUCUACUGUUGUGUCUUAAAGGAACACAGCCUCCUUUUUUCACUUUACCAGAGUUCACUGCUGAGAGUUUCAUUUAGUUUCAGAAGACUUUGAGCUUUGGACUUUAGAACAAUGUUACAACAGUGGAGAGUUUGCUGACUCCUAGAGGCAGACUAAGUGCAUCCUGCCUUAUGAGAUGUGCCUUAGAGGCCAGGGGUAGAAUGUUAAAGUCUGUAAAGAACAUGUUCCUGUGCUCAAGUGUUGAAGACUUUGAUCCCCUCUAGUGGUGCUAUUUUGAAAGAUUUGUUUCUGUGAGAAAAAAGAGCAUAAAGUCAAGAAUUUGAGGCAGUUGAACGGAUUCAUGCUCACACAUACCUUACUGUACAAAACCUCUUUGGAGCUCACUGUGGGGAACGGCAUCUGCGUUAGCUGUGAAGGAUGUGACAUCAAGGUGUGUCAACUAAUUACUUUUUUGGGUGCUUAAAGGGUGUUCUGCAUUUUUCCAAGCCUGAGAUGCCCUUGGUUAGUAUGUUAGUUGCUGGGUGUCAAGUCAGCUGUGACUGAUUGUUAUUCAUCCUCAACACUACCGUGUUGUUACUGAUGUCACAUCAAUCACUAUUGAUACUUAUAUCCUAUUACAUUAUAGUUGAAGUUCACAUCUAGAACCUUCCAAAAUACACUUAUAGAUUCUUAUAGAUUUCGUAUCCUCUGUGCUUUCCAGGAGCAACUCUGGAGAAUCUAGGUCUGGGUACACGUACAAUUAGAAGUCCUUAGUGCCACGUCCCCAGUCUUUCACAACCUGACAUCUUGUCCGUCAAAGUUGGCUAAAUCAUAACUCCUGAGGUGACUGAUUCUUUGAGCAUCUUUGCAGUUCUCUCUGAAGUUGUUCCUUCUAAUCCAUCUGAAGCCUUUUUCUCUUUGAAUUGGCUUCACUCUCACCGGAAGGAAGAAGAAGCAAAUGCGAUCCCUCGUUUUUUUCCUUUUGGUCAAAAUUGCUUAGAUCUACUCUGAUGAACCUUUGAAUGGAUUCCUGAUCUAGAUCCCUGAUGAUCUGUGACCAGAUUUGACCAUUUGCUGGCUUUUCUUUGUCAACCUCAAGCAGAAUGGACCCUAAGUAGUAUUCUUGUUCUUGACAAUGUGAGGCACUGCUUUCCAUGAUCCAGGCUUUGCUGGUCACAACGCCUCUGUUGCUUUUUUUGUCCUUGUUUUUCUAUCAGUGUGAAACGGCUAUAGAGAAUACAUAAACCAAGACAUGUGGCUAUGACAUUAUGAAAGUCCGUUUAAAAGAAUAAAAGACGUGUCAUUGGGUUUCUCCCUACAUCAUUCUGAAAUUCUUGUAUGUUCUUAAUUUUUCUGUCUGCAAAGCAUCUACAAUAUAUUCAGCGGAAACAAUUACAGCAGUGGUAUAAACCCUCUGGGUUCAUUUACAUGUUAUCAAUUCCAAGUUUACUAUCGUUUUUGUGUAGGAAUGUCUCACAGAUGGGGAACCCUAACAGGCAGAAGUUUACUGUCUUGUGGCAUCAAAGACUAGAAGCCUUACAUGAGAUCAUUGACUGGGUUAACUCCUUUGCAGGCUAUGAGGAAGGAAAUCGUCUAAAUGUUCAUUGUUGGCUGGUAUUUGGCUAUCUUCCUGUGUAGUCCUCAUUAUAUCUCCCAUAAAUCUGUCUCCUAUUUUUCUCUUUUCAUUAAAAAUAUCAUGUUAUAAGAGAUUAGACAUAACUUAGAUUAAACUUUAAAGGAACAUUUAUCCCACAUGAAUUUUUAUUUUAACAUACAUAUGGAGAUCAGAGGACAACUUUCAGGAGUCAGUUUUUCCUUCUACCAAGAGAUUAACCUAUCUAGGGAUUGGCCUCAGGUCAUCAGAUGUGACACUAAGUGACUCUAGCCCAUCAACCAUCUCACAGACUCUCAGUAUGGAUUUUCAUAGGAGGUAUUUCAACUCAGAACACUCUCUACAGAGAUUUAAUUCACUCAUAACUUGCUCAAGAACUGUUGAAGCACUCAAGAAUUUCAUCUUUCUCUACAUAAUUUCAUUAAGCAAGACUUAAGACAAAAAUUUGAAUUUUUUCUAGACGUCUCCUUACUUAGUCAUGACUAGUUAUUAGGUUAUUCAAUACAAGAGGUUCUGGAAAUCCAUUUUAUUGCGUCUGAGCAAUAAACAUUAAUUAAUAAAAAUGCCAAACAUUUUGGUCCCUAUUUACUCCAUAAUUCACUGGAUAUUUAAUUGGGGCACAAAAUGACAGAGACUUAUUUGAAAGAUAGGAUUUGGAAGAUUUGGCUUUAUUUGUAAUCUUACCGUCAAGCAAUGUUUCAUUCUAUAACAUAGACUUUGUGUUCGAAUGACCAAGCCCUAGACCUGGCUUUCAGAAAAAGAUCUGAGAAAACAAAAACAAAAAACCCAAAAGAACAAACAAAUCAAUCAAAAGUUGAUUUCACAGGCAGAGAAAGACUAAAAAGAAGUGGAAGCAAAAGAACCAGAUGACUGGUGAUUUCAAAAUUACUUUUCAUGGAAAGGUGAGGCAAAAUAAUGGAAACUAAUGGCUUUACUAACAAUGGAUUCCUUCAAGUUAUUUUUAAAGGAUUAAAUAUUACCUGCUGCAGACGAUUAAGGUACCUGUUCGUCACAGUGAGCGAAGCUGCCCAUUGGCACUUUAAACUCUUAUCUCUCAUUUCUCUUGGUUUUUUAGGAGGUCAGAUAAACAGCUUGCUAGCUCUUUGUUGAUAACAAACUCCAUCAAACAUGAUUUGUGAAUGGGUGUAAUUGAAUUUCAGUCUAGGUCCAGGUCAGGAGCUAGUUUAAAGCAAUGACCCUUAAAAUUAUUUAACGAUUCCAGGUUGGUCAUGUAACCAGAGAAACCAGAGAAGUCCACCGUGACUGGAUAGCCUUUGGGCUCAGCGCAAUGUGGAAGACUCUCUUCAUUAGCGAGUCUUUUCCUUCUCUGAUCUUGUCUGGGGACUUCAAAACCCCAUUCCUGAGGAAUGUCACCUGGCCUUAAUUUGAUUACAGGAUCAAUUUCCUUUCUCCUAUCACCGAGUUUCCUGAAAUGCUUCCCAUGCUUAGGAGGCGCUCCAGGUACCCUAAACCCCCAGCCAAUGACCUUUGCUCAUUCUGGAUGUUCCUACCCUCAGUGCCCCCCACAAACUUUAUAAGCCGCGAAUCACCCUAAGUAAAGUUAAUCUGCCUGCUUACUGCUGAUCUGGUCCCAGUGAUGUCAUUCAUUGUAUGUACUCUUCAGGGCUUCUACACACAAACAUCCUCCCCCAUUCGCCAUCUCUGCUCCCACUGCCCUCGUGGAUUGUGUCAGCUGAUGAUCCAGGAGAGUGGGGAGACAGACCCAUAGAUGGGGAGCAUAUAGAUUAUAAUUGUUUAGCGUUUUAUGGAGAAUUAGGAGAAAGGAGCUUAAUGGCUUCAAACAUAACGCUCUGCCAAGGAAGGAUCAUUCCAUGCUGUGUGUACCUAUUAGAAAUAAAAUAAAACUUCCGCAUCCUAUUGGAUGUGAAGUCUUACGCUUGCUGUAUGUUUUGUUGUUCCCGAUGUUGCUUCUAAUUCCCCCAUCGGUGGGGAAAAUGACAAUAGAAACAAAACCAAGCCCAGUCGCAAAGUAUAGAAACAAAGGCAAACCUUACUUUAGCUUGGCACACCUGUGUUAGCGCUUUCUCUUGUGAGGUGCUUAUUGCUAGUAUCUCAGAAACUUUUCUUCACAAAGGACCACCAGACCCUUAGAGUAGUUACUAUUCCUUCAGCUGACAUUUCACAUCUGCAGCUACUGCCUCUCACCUCGGCGGCAAAGGAUAUAUCCAGACCUUUUGUUGAGGGUACUGAAUCUGACAGGUGAAUUUCCCAAGUAAGGCUCUUUGGAGUGACUUACGGUCUGCCAGUUCUACUGGGUUCAUUUAACUUAAAGGAAAUACACCCCUUUAGCCAUUAUAGGAAUACCGAUGAGGUUAUUUUAAGUUGUAAUUAUUGUAAUAUCUGUAAGCAGAGUUUGAUGUCUUCUGUAUGCAUAAGUUUUGUAUUAGAUUUCUUUCCACACACACAAAUGCGUACAUUGUAUGUUCAGACCAUUCACUUAGUGAUAUAAUUUGUACACACAAGCUUUAAGUUGAAAAUACACUAUGUGUUAGUUACAGGUCUGUUAUGACCGAAAGAGAUAAACUAUGACUAAUUUUUAAAACAGGUAAAUAUAUUUAUAUAUUUAUAUGUAAAACUAUUUCUAUAUACAUAUAAGGUUGCUUCUGUUUAAAGUGAAUAUGCCCCUUUUAUGAAAUAUUGACUCUAAAAAUGUUGUAGGGAACAAGCAAUUCUUCAUGUGCUUCUUUGUGUUUACUUUCUAGUCAAUCAUUAAAAAAAAA
rnacentral:sRNA from 1 species